GGUUAAGUUAGAAAGGGCGCACGGUGGAUGCCUUGACACUAGGAGUCGAUGAAGGACGGGACUAACGCCGAUAUGCUUCGGGGAGCUGUAAGUAAGCUUUGAUCCGAAGAUUUCCGAAUGGGGAAACCCACCAUACGUAAUGGUAUGGUAUCCUUAUCUGAAUACAUAGGGUAAGGAAGACAGACCCAGGGAACUGAAACAUCUAAGUACCUGGAGGAAGAGAAAGCAAAUGCGAUUUCCUGAGUAGCGGCGAGCGAAACGGAACAUAGCCCAAACCAAGAGGCUUGCCUCUUGGGGUUGUAGGACAUUCUAUACGGAGUUACAAAGGAACGAGGUAGACGAAGCGACCUGGAAAGGUCCGUCGUAGAGGGUAACAACCCCGUAGUCGAAACUUCGUUCUCUCUUGAAUGUAUCCUGAGUACGGCGGAACACGUGAAAUUCCGUCGGAAUCUGGGAGGACCAUCUCCCAAGGCUAAAUACUCCCUAGUGAUCGAUAGUGAACCAGUACCGUGAGGGAAAGGUGAAAAGCACCCCGGAAGGGGAGUGAAAGAGAUCCUGAAACCGUGUGCCUACAAAUAGUCAGAGCCCGUUAACGGGUGAUGGCGUGCCUUUUGUAGAAUGAACCGGCGAGUUACGAUCCCGUGCGAGGUUAAGCUGAAGAGGCGGAGCCGCAGCGAAAGCGAGUCUGAAUAGGGCGUUUAGUACGUGGUCGUAGACCCGAAACCAGGUGAUCUACCCAUGUCCAGGGUGAAGUUCAGGUAACACUGAAUGGAGGCCCGAACCCACGCACGUUGAAAAGUGCGGGGAUGAGGUGUGGGUAGCGGAGAAAUUCCAAUCGAACCUGGAGAUAGCUGGUUCUCCCCGAAAUAGCUUUAGGGCUAGCCUUAAGUGUAAGAGUCUUGGAGGUAGAGCACUGAUUGGACUAGGGGUCCUCAUCGGAUUACCGAAUUCAGUCAAACUCCGAAUGCCAAUGACUUAUCCUUAGGAGUCAGACUGCGAGUGAUAAGAUCCGUAGUCAAAAGGGAAACAGCCCAGACCGCCAGCUAAGGUCCCAAAGUGUGUAUUAAGUGGAAAAGGAUGUGGAGUUGCUUAGACAACUAGGAUGUUGGCUUAGAAGCAGCCACCAUUUAAAGAGUGCGUAAUAGCUCACUAGUCGAGUGACUCUGCGCCGAAAAUGUACCGGGGCUAAAUACACCACCGAAGCUGCGGAUUGAUACCGAAUGGUAUCAGUGGUAGGGGAGCGUUCUAAGGACAGUGAAGUCAGACCGUAAGGACUGGUGGAGUGCUUAGAAGUGAGAAUGCCGGUAUGAGUAGCGAAAGACGGGUGAGAAUCCCGUCCACCGAAUGCCUAAGGUUUCCUGAGGAAGGCUCGUCCGCUCAGGGUUAGUCAGGACCUAAGCCGAGGCCGACAGGCGUAGGCGAUGGACAACAGGUUGAUAUUCCUGUACCACCUCUUUAUCGUUUGAGCAAUGGAGGGACGCAGAAGGAUAGAAGAAGCGUGCGAUUGGUUGUGCACGUCCAAGCAGUUAGGCUGAUAAGUAGGCAAAUCCGCUUAUCAUAAAGGCUGAGCUGUGAUGGGGAAGCUCCUUAUGGAGCGAAGUCUUUGAUUCCCCGCUGCCAAGAAAAGCUUCUAGCGAGAUAAAAGGUGCCUGUACCGCAAACCGACACAGGUAGGCGAGGAGAGAAUCCUAAGGUGUGCGAGAGAACUCUGGUUAAGGAACUCGGCAAAAUGACCCCGUAACUUCGGGAGAAGGGGUGCUUUCUUAACGGAAAGCCGCAGUGAAUAGGCCCAAGCGACUGUUUAGCAAAAACACAGCUCUCUGCGAAGCCGUAAGGCGAAGUAUAGGGGGUGACACCUGCCCGGUGCUGGAAGGUUAAGGAGAGGGGUUAGCGUAAGCGAAGCUCUGAACUGAAGCCCCAGUAAACGGCGGCCGUAACUAUAACGGUCCUAAGGUAGCGAAAUUCCUUGUCGGGUAAGUUCCGACCCGCACGAAAGGUGUAACGAUUUGGGCACUGUCUCAACCAGAGACUCGGUGAAAUUAUAGUACCUGUGAAGAUGCAGGUUACCCGCGACAGGACGGAAAGACCCCGUGGAGCUUUACUGUAGCCUGAUAUUGAAUUUUGGUACAGUUUGUACAGGAUAGGCGGGAGCCAUUGAAACCGGAGCGCUAGCUUCGGUGGAGGCGCUGGUGGGAUACCGCCCUGACUGUAUUGAAAUUCUAACCUACGGGUCUUAUCGACCCGGGAGACAGUGUCAGGUGGGCAGUUUGACUGGGGCGGUCGCCUCCUAAAGUGUAACGGAGGCGCCCAAAGGUUCCCUCAGAAUGGUUGGAAAUCAUUCGUAGAGUGCAAAGGCAUAAGGAGCUUGACUGCGAACCUACAAGUCGAGCAGGGACGAAAGUCGGGCUUAGUGAUCCGGUGGUUCCGCAUGGAAGGGCCAUCGCUCAACGGAUAAAAGCUACCCCGGGGAUAACAGGCUUAUCUCCCCCAAGAGUCCACAUCGACGGGGAGGUUUGGCACCUCGAUGUCGGCUCAUCGCAUCCUGGGGCUGUAGUCGGUCCCAAGGGUUGGGCUGUUCGCCCAUUAAAGCGGUACGCGAGCUGGGUUCAGAACGUCGUGAGACAGUUCGGUCCCUAUCCGUCGUGGGCGUAGGAAAUUUGAGAGGAGCUGUCCUUAGUACGAGAGGACCGGGAUGGACGCACCGCUGGUGUACCAGUUGUUCUGCCAAGGGCAUAGCUGGGUAGCUAUGUGCGGAAGGGAUAAGUGCUGAAAGCAUCUAAGCAUGAAGCCCCCCUCAAGAUGAGAUUUCCCAUAGCGUAAGCUAGUAAGAUCCCUGAAAGAUGAUCAGGUUGAUAGGUUCGAGGUGGAAGCAUGGUGACAUGUGGAGCUGACGAAUACUAAUAGAUCGAGGACUUAACCAU
rnacentral:rRNA from 1 species